UGGGGAAUAUUGGACAAUGGGCGCAAGCCUGAUCCAGCCAUGCCGCGUGAGUGAUGAAGGCCCUAGGGUUGUAAAGCUCUUUCACCGGUGAAGAUAAUGACGGUAACCGGAGAAGAAGCCCCGGCUAACUUCGUGCCAGCAGCCGCGGUAAUACGAAGGGGGCUAGCGUUGUUCGGAUUUACUGGGCGUAAAGCGCACGUAGGCGGACUAUUAAGUCAGGGGUGAAAUCCCGGGGCUCAACCCCGGAACUGCCUUUGAUACUGGUAGUCUUGAGUUCGGGAGAGGUGAGUGGAAUUCCGAGUGUAGAGGUGAAAUUCGUAGAUAUUCGGGGGAACACCAGUGGCGAAGACGGCUCACUGGCUCGAUACUGACGCUGCGGUGCGAAAGCGUGGAGAGCAAACAGG
rnacentral:rRNA from 1 species